GACGAACGCUGGCGGUGUGCUUCACACAUGCAAGUCGAACGAGGUAGCAAUACCUAGUGGCGGACGGGUGAGUAACGCGUGGGAAUCUGCCCAUAGGUGGGGGAUAACUAGCCGAAAGGUUAGCUAAUACCGCAUACGCCGAAAGGUAAAAGGAGUAAUCCGCCUUUGGAUGAGCCCGCGUCCGAUUAGCUAGUUGGUAGAGUAAAAAGCCUACCAAGGCGACGAUCGGUAGCUGGUCUGAGAGGAUGAUCAGCCACAAUGGGACUGAGACACGGCCCAUACUCCUACGGGAGGCAGCAGUGGGGAAUUUUACGCAAUGGGGGAAACCCUGACGUAGCGACACCGCGUGAAUGAAGAAGCCCUUUGGGGUGUAAAAUUCUGUCGGCUGGGAAGAAAAAAUAGAACGGCACCAGCAAAGGAAGACAUCGGCUAACUAACGUGCCAGCAGCCGCGGUAAU
rnacentral:rRNA from 1 species